GGAAACUUAAAAACUACCGUUGGAUCGAGAAAUAGACGUCCAAGAUUCGUCCACGUCACCAUCAGAGUUAUAUUUUAACUCAUGAGUGAAUCUGCGAGUUAAAUUUUAACUCAUGGUGAUGUGGCACGAAUCUCGGAUGUCCAUUUCUCGAUCCAACGGUAGUUUUCAAGUUUCC
rnacentral:pre_miRNA from 1 species